AAUGAAAAAAGCAUUGAAGGUGCCCCGGCAACGGGGAGAAUAGGGAAUCGGGUGUGAAUCCCGAGCGAACCCAUCACUGUGAUCAGUUGAGAUCCGCUGCGAACCACUGCCGACAGCACAUCGCCGGCGGGAAGGGGCGGACCUGGCGUGCAUAGCGCCGGCUGUCAGUCAGGAGACCUGCCUUGAAUGAUGAUGCAUG
rnacentral:ncRNA from 2 species